GUGGCACAGUCAUCCACUGGCCUUUACUGCCAUUUCUGUUACCUCAUAGCUGGAGUCAUCACAUGAGUCAGAAGCUGUGGAAAAGGAUGAGGACUACUGGGAGAUACAAAUUAGCCCAGAGUUACUGGCACGGGGGCGCAAAAAAUUAUUGCAUCUGCUGAAUGAAGGCUCAGCUCGGGAUCUGCGAAGCCUGCAGCGAAUUGGCCAGAAGAAGGCCCAGCUCAUUGUGGGCUGGAGGGAGCUGCAUGGCCCCUUUAAUGAGGUGGAGGACCUGGAACAGGUGGAAGGCAUCUCUGGGAAGCAGGUAGAGUCUUUCCUGAAGGCGAAUCUCUUGAGCUUGGCUGCCAGCCAGCACAGUGGUCCCUCUUGACUACCAGCUCUUGACACUACCUUUUUCUUUUAAAAAUUCUUGUAUAGUGAUGUUGUGUAAAUACAGCUUUUAUUCCGUG
rnacentral:lncRNA from 1 species